rnacentral:rRNA from 1 species
CAGCAGCCGCGGUAAUACGGAGGGUGCAAGCGUUAUCCGGAUUCACUGGGUUUAAAGGGUGCGUAGGCGGGCAGGUAAGUCAGUGGUGAAAUCUCCAAGCUUAACUUGGAAACUGCCGUUGAUACUAUCUGUCUUGAAUACUCGGGAGGUGAGCGGAAUAUGUCAUGUAGCGGUGAAAUGCUUAGAUAUGACAUAGAACACCAAUUGCGAAGGCAGCUUGCUACAGAGUUAUUGACGCUGAGGCACGAAAGCGUGGGGAUCAAACAGGAUUAGAUACCCUGGUAGUCCACGCCCUAAACUA